rnacentral:rRNA from 1 species
GACGAACGCUGGCGGCGUGCUUAACACAUGCAAGUCGAGCGGUAAGGCCCUUUCGGGGGUACACGAGCGGCGAACGGGUGAGUAACACGUGGGCGACCUACCCUCAGCUUCGGGAUAAGCCUGGGAAACUGGGUCUAAUACCGGAUAUGACCUUCCCUCGCAUGGGGGUUGGUGGAAAGUUUUUUCGGCUGGGGAUGGGCCCGCGGCCUAUCAGCUUGUUGGUGGGGUGAUGGCCUACCAAGGCGACGACGGGUAGCCGGCCUGAGAGGGCGACCGGCCACACUGGGACUGAGAUACGGCCCNGACUCCUACGGGAGGCAGCAGUGGGGAAUAGUUGCGCAAUGGGCGGAAGGCCUGACGCAGCGACGCCGCGUGGGGGAUGGACGGCC